CAAGCACCUAAACCCGAGAGCUGCUGUUUGUCAUAGCCGCAGUUUAAACAGAGGUCCUGACAGCAAGUGGAUCUGGUCACUUCUGGGGCCGUAGCUGUGCCGCUCAAAGUGAAUUGGGAGGUUCUACACUC